rnacentral:rRNA from 1 species
GUCUACAGCCAUACCACCAUGAACGCGCCUGAUCUCAGAAGCUAAGCAGGGUCGCGUUAGUACUUGGAUGGGAGUUUCAAAAAUACGAUUGAGUUGACC